GACGAACGCUGGCGGCGUGCUUAACACAUGCAAGUCGAACGGAAAGGCCCUGCUUUUGUGGGGUGCUCGAGUGGCGAACGGGUGAGUAACACGUGAGUAACCUGCCCUUGACUUUGGGAUAACUUCAGGAAACUGGGGCUAAUACCGGAUAGGAGCUCCUGCUGCAUGGUGGGGGUUGGAAAGUUUCGGCGGUUGGGGAUGGACUCGCGGCUUAUCAGCUUGUUGGUGGGGUAGUGGCUUACCAAGGCUUUGACGGGUAGCCGGCCUGAGAGGGUGACCGGCCACAUUGGGACUGAGAUACGGCCCAGAAUCCUACGGGAGGCAGCAGUGGGGAAUAUUGCACAAUGGGCGGAAGCCUGAUGCAGCAACGCCGCGUGCGGGAUGACGGCCUUCGGGUUAUAAACAGCUUUCGCCGGUGACGAAGCGUGAGUGACGGUAAUGGGUAAAGAAGCACCGGCUAACUACGUG
rnacentral:rRNA from 1 species